UUUAAUAGCUUGCUAAUGAAAUUCUUAGUGGCGGACGGGUUAGUAACACGUGAGAAUCCUACCCUUAAGUGGGGAAUAGCCUUUCGAAAGGAAGAUUAAUGCCCCAUGGUCUCUACGGAGUAAAGAUGCCUUCGGGUGUCGCUUAAGGAUGGGCUCGCGGCCUAUCAGCUAGUUGGUGAGGUAAGAGCUCACCAAGGCAACGACGGGUAGCUGGUCUGAGAGGACGAUCAGCAACACUGGAACUGAGACACGGUCCAGACACCUACGGGUGGCAGCAGUCGAGAAUCAUUCACAAUGGACGAAAGUCUGAUGGUGCAACGCCGCGUGGAGGAUGACGGCCCUAGGGUUGUAAACUCCUGUCAUCAGGGAGUAAGACUUAUUCGUUAAUAGCGUGUAAGUUUGAUAGUACCUGAAGAGGAAGGGACGGCUAACUUCGUGCCAGCAGCCGCGGUAAUACGAAGGUCCCAAGCGUUGUUCGGAAUAACUGGGCGUAAAGCGUGUGUAGGCCGCGCGGAAAGUCGGAUGUGAAAGCCCAAGGCUUAACCUUGGAACUGCAUUCGAUACUCCCGUGCUAGAGUAAUGGA
rnacentral:rRNA from 1 species